ensembl:lncRNA
AUUUUGUCAGAAGCAUUUAUGCCAAGGGACAAAUAAGGAACAUAACAAGCAAAGCCAAUUUUCGAGUCAGCAAGAGUGAUAAAAAAAAGUGAAGGUGACGUGACAUACAGCCAAGUAUGGUGACCCAUACUCAGAAUUUGUGCUCUGCAUUUAACCCAUCCAAAGUGCACACACACAGCAGUGAACAUACACACUGUGGACACACACCCGGAGCAGUGGGCAGCCAUUUAUGCUGCAGCGCCCGGGGAGCAGUUGGGGGUUCGGUGCCUUGCUCAAGGGCACCUCAGUCUGCCGGAGACCCGAGACUCGAACCCAUAACCUUAGGAGUGAAACUCUCUAACCACUAGGCCACGACAAAUGGGGAGAAUACUCAUUUCUUUGCGAACAGUGCAUAAACAGUCAUACAAAUGUAGGGCAGGGCUUGUAUUUCUCCCUUGUUCUCUUACGCUCUUGUCUUCAUAUUCCCUCCCCUAUCCUCCCAGUUUUUCUUGAUUAUUUCUACAAAAUUUACUAGACUGUAUAACAACUGUAGAAGAAGAACUGCAUACCGCAAGGCAUUCUUCCCAAUAUCUGAGCCUGCAUUUCUGAGAAAUCUGAGAUUUCAUUAAGAAGACAUCAGUUUUUAUUCAAGAAGUGUCCACCGUGCCAGAGAGAGCCACAAUGCAGGUUUCAAUGGACAGAUGGAAGGCAGCCAUCAUCUGCACUGGUGUGGAAAUGUGUCUUACAAGGUCUCAGGAAGUUCCUGCUGUAAUGGUAAUAUAACUCUGGGAUUAAGCCAGCUGGUGGCUGACUGCUGUGGUUCUGUAGCUUACAAUCCACUUAAUGAGAUUUGCUGUAAUGGCAGUAUUCUGACUCGAAGCAGCACUUACGCGAAAUGCUGUGGCAAAGGUAGCCGAUCCACUUUAUACACCUUGAUGACAUUUUUCAGAUUUGACACAUUUUUGCAUGCUUAAGAAAUUUUGAUGAGAUUGGUUGAUCUUCAGACAGUUAGCUCAAGGUUGACGUUUUAUAAUGAGUUU